rnacentral:lncRNA from 1 species
AACUCUCUUUCGUUCUUGUGCCUAAAAGUAAUUUUCUUUACAAAGGCAUGAUUUUUAUUUGAUUUUUACGAAUUUGAAGCAUGAACCCAUAUCUUAUGAUGAUUAUUAUGAAAUCUUGAUGUUUAUGAUUUUGAAAGAUGAAUUUACAUAUGUGGAGAUAUAAAGCAUGAAUCUUGAAUGAUAUUUAUCAUGAUUUUGAUAUUUGGGUCGUGAAUCCCCAUUGGAAAUUGUGUUUUUUUGAGAAAGUAUGUGUUA